AUAAUUCUGGACAAUUGGGGGCACCCUGAUCCAGCCAUGCCGCGUGUGUGAAGAAGGCCCUCGGGUUGUAAAGCACUUUCGCUCCCGUAAAGAUAAUGACGGGGUUCAAUACCACGAAGCGGAUGAUAGCUAUCGGACACAACUAACCACCGGAUUACUAAGGGGGCUAACGCUGGUGCAAUUCGUAUGGUGCUAACGUUCAUCUAAGUUACAUGGGCAUAUAACGUGUGCAAGCCGUCCGCUCAAACCCAUAUCAGAUCCCCGAUACUUAACCUGGGAACUGUAUUUGUGACUGGCGGGCUACAGUAUGGCAAAGGGGGGUACAAUUAUAUGUGUAGCAAUGAAAUGCGUAAAGAUGUGUAAGAAUACCAAUAGUGAAGGUAACCCCCUAAACCAUUACUGACCCUCAUGCAUGAAUACCUGGGUAGCCCACACGAUUAAAUACCCUGUGUAAUCCACGCCCUAAAUGAUGUCAACUAUUGGUCGGGUCUUCAUUGACUUGGUAAGCGUCAGCUAACGCAUUAAAUAUACCGCCUGGGGAGUACGGUCGCAAGAUUAAAACUCAAAGGAAUUGACGGGGACCCGCACAAGCGGUGGAUCAUGUGGAUUAAUUCGAAGCAACGCGCAAAACCUUACCUACCCUUGACAUAUCUGUAAUCCACACAAAAAUGUGUCAUUGCACUACGGGUGGACCUAAUACAGGUGCUGCAUGGCUGUCGUCAGCUCGUGUCGUGAGAUGUUGGGUUAAGUCCCGCAACGAGCGCAACCCUCGUCCCUAGUUGCCACCCUAUAGCACUCUAGGGAGACUGCCGGUGACAACCGGAGAGAAGGUGGGGAAGAAUCUAAUCUCUUAUGUGCCCUUAUGGGUAGGGCUUCACACGUCCUACAAUGGUCGGAACAGAGGGUCAGCCACCCGCGAGGGUGGUAGCUAAUCUCCAAAAACCGAUCUUAGUUCGGAUCGCACUCUGCAACUCGAGUGCAUGAAGCUGGAAUCGCUAGUAAUCGCGGAUCAGCAUGCCGCGGUGAUACGUUCCCGGGUCUUGUACACACCGCCCGUCACACCAUGGGAGUGGGUUUUACCAGAAGUGGCUAUUCUAACCGCAAGGAGGACGGUCACCACGGUAGGAUUCAUGACUGGGGUGAAGGUAGUAACAAGGUAGCCGUAUGGAAACGUGCGGUUGAAUCACCUCCUUAACCUGGAUCCCGGGG
rnacentral:rRNA from 1 species